CUCGUGUCAGAUACCAAGCUCUGAGGUUGAUCUUAUAUAGUUGAAAAGCCCUAGUUCUUCUCUUUAGAAUAAAUGAAGAAAAAAUGCUCCUUCCAUCGAUGGAUGGAGGAAGGAGUUCCUUGGAUCAGGAGAAGCCCUCUUCAAGGAGAGACAUACCACUUAUCCUGCUUUAUCAAAUGCUUCUUUAGAGUGAAACAAGCCCCA
rnacentral:lncRNA from 1 species